rnacentral:rRNA from 1 species
ACAUCCAGAGAACUUGGCAGAGAUGCCUUGGUGCCCUUCGGGACCUCUGAGACAGGUGCUGCAUGGCUGUCGUCAGCUCGUGUUGUGAAAUGUUGGGUUAAGUCCCGNAACGAGCGCAACCCCUAUCCUUUGUUGCCAGCGAUUCGGUCGGGAAACUCAAAGGAGACUGCCGGUGAUAAACCGGAGGAAGGUGGGGAUGACGUCAAGUCAUCAUGGCCCUUACGAGUAGGGCUACACACGUGCUACAAUGGCGCAUACAAAGAGAAGCGACCUCGCGAGAGCAAGCGGACCUCAUAAAGUGCGUCGUAGUCCGGAUCGGAGUCUGCAACUCGACUCCGUGAAGUCGGAAUCGCUAGUAAUCGUAGAUCAGAAUGCUACGGUGAAUACGUUCCCGGGCCUUGUACACACCGCCCGUCACACCAUGGGAGUGGGUUGCAAAAGAAGUAGAUAGCUUAACCUUCGGGAGGGCGUUUACCACUUUGUGAUUCAUGACUGGGGUGAAGUCGUAACAAGGUAGGCGUAGCGAG